CGCGGAGAUUCGAUUUCCGUAGGUGAACCUGCGGCCCGAUCAUUCGCACGUAUCCAUUUGAAUCAUGUGAACUACUUUUGUGGGUCUCUGGUGGAGGUUGAGAUCACAUCGAUGCCUUCAUACAGAAACCCGCGGGCUGCAGGGCGGCAUCGGACCGUCUUCCUUUACCGUUCCUGCUGCCAAUGGUCUUCUUGACACUCACUUCUUCUACCAUGUUCCUUCUGAGUUUGUUACUCUUGUGAUUCUAAACACAACUUUCAGCGACGGAUGUCUCGGCUCGAACAACGAUGAAGGGCGCAGCGAAGUGUGAUAAGCAUUGUGAAUUGCAGAAUUCCGUGAACCAAUAGGGAUUUGAACGUAUACUGCGCUUUCGGGAUAUUCCUGAAAGCAUGCCUGCUUCGGUGUCUACUCACAUUCAUUCCAGCACGUUUGCUUGCCUUGCGCCAGCAGUGUGCUUGUGAGCAUUUGUGUGUCAGGGCGUUCUGCGCCUUGACGCAUUCAGGUCAUAGGGCCUUCUGCUACAACCAACUUGAAGAGCAUCUUGUGUGCCUUUGGUGUUGGACCUGUUGCUGGAGGGCGCCUAACAAUGACAUUGCAUCAUCUUCUGGGUGGUGUUCCAUUCCAAGACACGAAGUUAGGUCAGCAAACCCGCUGAAUUUAAGCAUAUCAAUA
rnacentral:rRNA from 1 species